CGUUUUUGCGUAAGCCCCCUCUGAUAGGGAACUGUUCACGGAGAGAUGACGUUAAACACAUCUGAAGUGGGUUUGUCCCUAGGAAGACCCCGAGGAGCAGCAGCGGACACACCGUUUCGACAGAGGCCGGUGGUUUCCCCCGGCUGCCGGACACCGCCCCAGAACUCACCACCACCCAUCCGGCACUGCCCCACUACGACGUCGCGCCCUUCCUCCAAUCGUGUGCCUCCUACCGUCUGCGUAAAGGUCGCGAGCGGUGUUGCUUAGGAACCCAACGCGUUCUGGGGUGGUGCGCGCCUACCUCGAGUCUCUCUGAGGAGAGCGACGUUGGAGCGGGUGAGGAGGCGCCCAACAGCCGCUGGGCCGGAGGCAGGCGCUCAGUAGGAGCGGGUGUGAAUGGAGUCUCAGUAUCUGAAGAGAUGUCUGGGAAGUUGUUUGAAAAAGGGACUGGCAGAGGUUGUAGAGCAUCGGCCAGCAGAUCCAAUAGAGUAUCUGGCACAUUGGAUUUACAAUUACAGAAGAAAUUUAGAUGAAGAAAAAAAGAGAAUGUUGGAGAGGAUUGAGCUGGAACAAGAACGGGAGGCGGCCCUGGUAGAACUUGAAAUGUUAAGAAAAAUGAAGGAAGAAGAGUUACUGUUCCAGCAGAAACUUGAAGAACAAUGUCAGUUGGAACAAGAACGUGAGAAGUUGGAACUGCAGAAUGAAGAAGAUGAAAAGCUGUUGCAGCAGAAAGAUCAAGAGGAAAAUGAAAAGACAAUAGCUGAACUUACAGAUAGACCUGGGGCACCUAAUUUGACCACAGUCAAGGAGCUAGAUGACAAUGGACAGUUUGAGAGUAUAACAGAUCUCACGGCAGAACCAGAACAAGAAAGUUCCCAACUGACCUGAAAGCACUAGCAUGGCUGACUCAGAGGAAGAAAACCGCAAGUAAAAUGAAAGUGGUUGUCAAGAAAGUUCUGUAUCUGUUCAUUAUAAAUGGAAAAGACACCAGCGUUAAGAAAUCUUGUGCUUCUUGGCUAAAACAUGCCUUUACCUCUCACUAUUUUCUAAUAAUAGAGGUUAGUUGGACAAUUAACAUGAAGUCAUUUCCAAUAUUGUAUAAUGAGAAUACUUUGCAUUACAAAUUCAGAGCAUAGUGCAUUCACUGCAUUCUUCAGUUUUGGGAUGAAAGAUUUUUGGGAUAUUUUCACUUUGUUUAUAUUAUAGCUAGCUUUAAGGGUUUUGCUAUCUUUGGCAAAAUGUUAAAAAUAUCUAUAUACCAAAUAGGCAAAGGUCAAUCAUGCAAUAAAUAUUUUUCUGCUCUAGAUAACUUGUUUGGUUCAUGUGGCUCAUACUAGGUGUAAUCCUAUUGAUUUUUAAAAAGGUAAGCACUAUUGAUUUCUAGUGUAGUAAUAUUAUUUUUCCCUUAAAAAUAAAGUAUGUUUAUUAAAAAAAAUCCGGUUGCCCUCUUUAUUGUCAUAUUGCUUUUUGGAUGGUGUUAAUUAGCAUGUCUUAAAAGAACAUCUUUAAAACCAAAAGAGAAAAAUGUUACUCUCCAGGUUUAAAUAAUUAGAAAGGUUUGUGUAACUUUAGGUAAUGAAAAAUGGAACUAGUUUUUUGACUAGAUGGUCAGGCUUUGCUAUCUAUAUUCUGUAUCAGUAGAAGUUUGCAAUGUCUAUGACAGUCAAGAAUCUUUUCUGUGAAAUGAUUAUGCCCUUAUGGUUGAUGUUCCAACAAACCAAUUUAGUCACAGUUUAUGAUUAUAUUUAUUAGCAACAAUUAAAAUAGUACCAUUUUAAGGCUGCAUUUUAAGACACUACAGUUCUAAUUACACUUAUUAACACUGUAUGCACAGCAGCUUCUUGUGCUAAUCCCAAAAGGAUGGAGUAACUGGAUAAAUAGAUAGGAGUUUCUCUUUUAAGCUAGUAUGAGUAACUGAAUCUCAUUAUUUAGAUUAAACUUUCCAAAAAUUGGUAACUUGUGUCCAUUUACGUUUUAUGUCAGUUAUGUUGACUAUGAAAAUUUCAGUCAUCAUACAGCCUUCAUAUUUAAUUAGGAAAUAUGUUCAAGUUGUAAGAUGGUAUUUCAAAACAUGCUAGUAAAUAAUUCUAAUUGCUACUUGCAAUGUGUGGCUUUCACUUUCUCUGUUUUCAUAACAUUUGUAUCUUUCUUUGAUUUUGUUACAUGUGUGUCCACUAGAGUGCAUCCUAAAUAAACAUACUGGUGGCUCUGUCAGUUACAACCAAUGAAAACUACGACUUUUGUCAUUUUGUUUCAGCUUAUUUUUAACUGUGACUUUCUUUGUGAUCCUGCAGUUCAUAUUCCUCACUUUCUAGACAGGAAUUGAAUUUUUGGUUGGAAACUUUUAUCAGAGAAUUGCUUCAAGGGUCAAAAUAAAAUGGUAGAUUCCAAUUUACCUAUUCAUUUGCUGUUAAUUAUGUACAGAAGACAUAAGUUGUUCAAAUAUUAUUUAUAGGAAUUCCCAUUUUUUUCAGGAUUUGAUGUGCAUAGACCUAGUUCAUUGAUCAACUUCUACAGCUUUAUAGGAAUUCUUAUGUUGGAU